CCUACGGGAGGCAGCAGUGAGGAAUAUUGGUCAAUGGUCGGGAGACUGAACCAGCCAAGCCGCGUGAGGGAGGAAGGUACAGAGUAUCGUAAACCUCUUUUGUCAGGGAACAAAGGCGGGGACGUGUCCCCGGAUGAGUGUACCUGAAGAAAAAGCAUCGGCUAACUCCGUGCCAGCAGCCACGGUAAUACGGAGGAUGCGAGCGUUAUCCGGAUUUCUUGGGUUUAAAGGGUGCGCAGGCGGUCUGUUAAGUUAGCGGUCAAAGGCCCGGGCCCAACCCCGGCCCCGCCGUGGAACUGGGCAGUCUAGAGUUGGAGAGAGGUAUGCGGAAUGCGCGGUGUAGCGGGGAAAUGCAUAGAGAUCGCGCAGAACUCCGAUUGCGAAGGCAGCAUGCCGGCUCCACACUGACGCUGAGGCACGAAAGCGUGGGUAUCGAACAGGAUUAGAUACCCCUGUAGUC
rnacentral:rRNA from 1 species